UCACGGGUGACUGCGAAUCUGAAGGAAGCCCGAGGCAAAAUGCUGGCCUGACGAACAGGAAGCGGAUAGAGGCGGCACAGUGGGGUAAGGGGGCAAACUUCAUCAAGCCCAAUACUUGCACGGAGUGCUGUGACUCAGGGAACUGCUGCGCAGAAUGCGGGGCCACAAGA
rnacentral:ncRNA from 2 species